UCUACUCGCUGUCAGUCCUGAGUGAUCAAAGGAAAGAUGGCUUUUCAGAAUAAGACACCUAUGGACCUGAACUUUCUGUAAAAAAAAAUUCAACUUUCAAAGCUUAUACUUAUAGUCACAGUUUGAUGUUACUAUGAAGGACAUGGAAAGGAAAUCACUAACUUGUAUCUUAUUAAUUUGCAUCUGUUUUAUUAAAAAUUUUUUUUAUUUUUUUUACGCAUUUUAAUUCAAUGAAAUCUCCUGGGUGUGUAAACUUUUUGCCUUUUGACCAGGACUCCCUUGAAAAAGAGAAGUGGAUCUAAAUGCAUUUAUUUCCUGGAUAAAUAAUGGAUAAAAAAAUAAAUAAAACCAGAUCUGUUACAGUUUUGUACUACAGCUAUGACGAUGCAAUAACUUUCCUCUAUUCGUGUUGAGUUUAAAUGAAUGUGCUGCCAUCUAGCGGACAGUUUUCCAACAACAGUCUUUCAUUCUUAAUGUCAGGAAUCUAAGUACUAAACUGUCCUGAAUGAAGUCCAGACAUGAAACAAGAAGAUCUGCAGAGAAGCUACAAACAAAUAAUUUACUGUGAGAACACAAAUGUCCACAAGUGCAACAAAGACAGCCCAGUUAGAAAGUGUGACUGUGUUCAACUGCUUCAAACUUAUUGACUGAGAUGGUCCUCCAACCUCCAAGAGUGGAACUACAACCUUUGUCUCCAUGUUCUGCAGGUCUGCUGCUGUAUGUGGGUCUGACCCUGGUGGGCUUGAUCUCCAUGUUUUCUGUAGCUUUGCUGAUUUUCUGCAGGAGCCGCAGAUUCAAUCAGAAAAAGGCACCUUCUUCAGAAACACAGUGUUCUAACGUUACUGUGGUGAGUCUGAAUCUGUCAUUCUCAUUCAUACCUCAAUGAUGAAUCAAGAUAAGAAACACAAAGUCAUUUUGUGCUGCAGCCCAACCAGGAAUAUGGGGAGAUCAGGGAGAACACGUCGCCUCCUGUGGAAAUACCUACGGUGUACUCUAACGUAAAAUAUAAGAAAGGACAGAGAUCUGACAGCAGACAUGUGUACAGCCUCGUCGAUUAUCCUCAGGACAAUGUGAGUUAAAUUAAUCUGUAAAAGCCCUCAAUUCUGGAAUAACUGGUGGAGAUCAGACCUGUGUUUGUCAAUUAGGAGAGAAGAAGCUGUCUCUUUGAGCAACUUUUUAUGAAAAACCUCUAUGAUUGUGACGUUAUCCUUUGUUUUUUUCAGGUUGAAGACCCCUCCAUUGAAUACUCUAUAAUCCAAUUCCCCAACUCUACUCCACCCAGCAGCGCCCCCUGUGGUCACAUAGAAAAUGACAUUUACUCAUCUGUUUAGCUUGA
rnacentral:lncRNA from 1 species